UGAAAUGUCCUUGUAUAUUCGCCCAAAAGACAGAUUCGGAUGUUGGUCAGGCCAGACCAGUUGCACUGUACGGACCUAUGUUUCUUCCUCUCUGGAACCCUAAAAAAGAAAGCUCUAGCUCCGCCUGAUUCUUCAGGAUUCUUACAUUGACGUACUCUCUGCCAGUCAUCAUUUAAAGAUGGGAGUUUCCAGGAGUACCAGAAGUGUUGUGAUUAGCAUCUCAUGUUUCUUAAAAUUUUAAUCUUUUUGUUGAUGGUAUGUGCUGCAAAAGGCCCAAGACCAGGAUAUGCUCGAGUGUGGAAAACAAGAAAGAGAAUUCAAACUAUUUCCAAGCCCGCAAAACUUGUUGAUUGUGUAAGCUCGCCUUUUAUAUCCCCUGUUUUGUUCUCUUCUAAUACAAUUCUCACAGCAAAUAUGAGUGUGUCAACUUGACAGCUUAUAGAAAUAUGGGGUUGCCCAUUUGACAUUGUAGAUUUUUUUUUUUUUCUAACAAACUUACGGUAAUAGGAGAGCAUUUUAAGGACACUUUCUGGUCAAAAUUCCUUAAUUAUAUUUUUUUAUUUCUCUUGAGGUAAUCAUUUUGGGGCUGUCUUUUUGUUGAUUAUGGAAAUGUCAAAUGUCAAAGAGGAAGUUCAUGGGGCUCUCUUGAUUCAUUCAUCUCCUGGGAAUUAGAGUUCCCUUUAGGGGAGGUUUGGAUGGUGAGUUAAGAUGAUGUGAGUUUAGAUGAAAGUUGAAUAAAAUAUUGUUAGAAUAUUAUUUUUUAAUAUUAUUAUUAUUUUUGGAUUUGAAAAA